rnacentral:rRNA from 1 species
GACGAACGCUGGCGGCGUGCCUAACACAUGCAAGUCGAGCGAGUGGAGUUCUUCGGAACAAAGCUAGCGGCGGACGGGUGAGUAACACGUGGGCAACCUGCCUCAUAGAGGGGAAUAGCCUCCCGAAAGGGAGAUUAAUACCGCAUAAGAUUGUAGCUUCGCAUGAAGUAGCAAUUAAAGGAGCAAUCCGCUAUGAGAUGGGCCCGCGGCGCAUUAGCUAGUUGGUGAGGUAACGGCUCACCAAGGCGACGAUGCGUAGCCGACCUGAGAGGGUGAUCGGCCACAUUGGGACUGAGACACGGCCCAGACUCCUACGGGAGGCAGCAGUGGGGAAUAUUGCACAAUGGGGGAAACCCUGAUGCAGCAACGCCGCGUGAGUGAUGACGGCCUUCGGGUUGUAAAGCUCUGUCUUCAGGGACGAUAAUGACGGUACCUGAGGAGGAAGCCACGGCUAACUACGUGCCAGCAGCCGCCGUAA